rnacentral:rRNA from 1 species
AGAGUUUGAUCCUGGCUCAGAGCGAACGCUGGCGGCGUGCUUAACACAUGCAAGUCGAGUGCGCGCCUGUAGCAAUACAGGUGGCGCACGGCGCACGGGUGCGUAACACGUGGGUAAUCUGCCCUUCGAUGGGGAAUAACUCGCCGAAAGGCGAGCUAAUUCCGCAUAACAUUCCGAGGACUUUGGUUUUCGGAUUCAAAGGCGUAAGUCGUCGGAGGAGGAGCCCGCGCACGAUUAGCUAGUUGGUGAGGUAAUGGCUCACCAAGGCUAUGAUCGUUAGCUGGUCUGAGAGGAUGGCCAGCCACACUGGAACUGAGACACGGUCCAGACUCCUACGGGAGGCAGCAGUGGGGAAUCUUGCACAAUGGGCGAAAGCCUGAUGCAGCGACGCCGCGUGGGGGAUGAAGCUUUUCGGAGUGUAAACCCCUUUCGACCCGGACG